ACUAUCGUUAACUGAAUACAUAGGUUAACGAGGCGAACCGGGGGAACUGAAACAUCUAAGUACCCCGAGGAAAAGAAAUCAACCGAGAUUCCCCCAGUAGCGGCGAGCGAACGGGGAGCAGCCCAGAGUCUGAAUCAGCUUGUGUGUUAGUGGAACGGUCUGGAAAGUCCGACGGUACAGGGUGAUAGUCCCGUACACCAAAAUGCACAGGUUGUGAACUCGAAGAGUAGGGCGGGACACGUGGUAUCCUGUCUGAAUAUGGGGGGACCAUCCUCCAAGGCUAAAUACUCCUGACUGACCGAUAGUGAACCAGUACCGUGAGGGAAAGGCGAAAAGAACCCCGGCGAGGGGAGUGAAAAAGAACCUGAAACCGUGUACGUACAAGCAGUGGGAGCACCUUCGGGUGUGACUGCGUACCUUUUGUAUAAUGGGUCAGCGACUUAUAUUCUGUAGCAAGGUUAACCGUAUAGGGGAGCCGCAGGGAAACCGAGUCUUAACUGGGCGUUAAGUUGCAGGGUAUAGACCCGAAACCCGGUGAUCUAGCCAUGGGCAGGUUGAAGGUUGGGUAACACUAACUGGAGGACCGAACCGACUAAUGUUGAAAAAUUAGCGGAUGACUUGUGGCUGGGGGUGAAAGGCCAAUCAAACCGGGAGAUAGCUGGUUCUCCCCGAAAGCUAUUUAGGUAGCGCCUCGUGAAUUCAUCUUCGGGGGUAGAGCACUGUUUCGGCUAGGGGGUCAUCCCGACUUACCAACCCGAUGCAAACUACGAAUACCGAAGAAUGUUAUCACGGGAGACACACGGCGGGUGCUAACGUCCGUCGUGAAGAGGGAAACAACCCAGACCGCCAGCUAAGGUCCCAAAGUCAUGGUUAAGUGGGAAACGAUGUGGGAAGGCACAGACAGCCAGGAUGUUGGCUUAGAAGCAGCCAUCAUUUAAAGAAAGCGUAAUAGCUCACUGGUCGAGUCGGCCUGCGCGGAAGAUGUAACGGGGCUAAACCAUGCACCGAAGCUGCGGCAGCGACACUAUGUGUUGUUGGGUAGGGGAGCGUUCUGUAAGCCUGCGAAGGUGNUGCUGGAGGUAUCAGAAGUGCGAAUGCUGACAUAAGUAACGAUAAAGCGGGUGAAAAGCCCGCUCGCCGGAAGACCAAGGGUUCCUGUCCAACGUUAAUCGGGGCAGGGUGAGUCGACCCCUAAGGCGAGGCCGAAAGGCGUAGUCGAUGGGAAACAGGUUAAUAUUCCUGUACUUGGUGUUACUGCGAAGGGGGGACGGAGAAGGCUAUGUUAGCCGGGCGACGGUUGUCCCGGUUUAAGCAUGUAGGCUGAUUAUCCAGGCAAAUCCGGAUAAUCAAGGCUGAGGUGUGAUGACGAGGCACUACGGUGCUGAAGUAACAAAUGCCCUGCUUCCAGGAAAAGCCUCUAAGCAUCAGGUAACAUCAAAUCGUACCCCAAACCGACACAGGUGGUCAGGUAGAGAAUACCAAGGCGCUUGAGAGAACUCGGGUGAAGGAACUAGGCAAAAUGGUGCCGUAACUUCGGGAGAAGGCACGCUGGUGUGUAGGUGAAGCCCCUGCGGGUGGAGCUGAGACCAGUCGAAGAUACCAGCUGGCUGCAACUGUUUAUUAAAAACACAGCACUGUGCAAACACGAAAGUGGACGUAUACGGUGUGACGCCUGCCCGGUGCCGGAAGGUUAAUUGAUGGGGUUAUCCGUAAGGAGAAGCUCUUGAUCGAAGCCCCGGUAAACGGCGGCCGUAACUAUAACGGUCCUAAGGUAGCGAAAUUCCUUGUCGGGUAAGUUCCGACCUGCACGAAUGGCGUAAUGAUGGCCAGGCUGUCUCCACCCGAGACUCAGUGAAAUUGAACUCGCUGUGAAGAUGCAGUGUACCCGCGGCAAGACGGAAAGACCCCGUGAACCUUUACUAUAGCUUGACACUGAACAUUGAGCCUUGAUGUGUAGGAUAGGUGGGAGGCUUUGAAGCGUGGACGCCAGUCUGCGUGGAGCCAACCUUGAAAUACCACCCUUUAAUGUUUGAUGUUCUAACGUUGGCCCCUUACCGGGGUUGCGGACAGUGUCUGGUGGGUAGUUUGACUGGGGCGGUCUCCUCCCAAAGCGUAACGGAGGAGCACGAAGGUUAGCUAAUCCUGGUCGGACAUCAGGAGGUUAGUGCAAUGGCAUAAGCUAGCUUGACUGCGAGCGUGACGGCGCGAGCAGGUGCGAAAGCAGGUCAUAGUGAUCCGGUGGUUCUGAAUGGAAGGGCCAUCGCUCAACGGAUAAAAGGUACUCCGGGGAUAACAGGCUGAUACCGCCCAAGAGUUCAUAUCGACGGCGGUGUUUGGCACCUCGAUGUCGGCUCAUCACAUCCUGGGGCUGAAGUAGGUCCCAAGGGUAUGGCUGUUCGCCAUUUAAAGUGGUACGCGAGCUGGGUUUAGAACGUCGUGAGACAGUUCGGUCCCUAUCUGCCGUGGGCGCUGGAGAAUUGAGGGGGGCUGCUCCUAGUACGAGAGGACCGGAGUGGACGCAUCACUGGUGUUCGGGUUGUCAUGCCAAUGGCACUGCCCGGUAGCUAAAUGCGGAAGAGAUAAGUGCUGAAAGCAUCUAAGCACGAAACUUGCCCCGAGAUGAGUUCU
rnacentral:rRNA from 1 species